UUCCACUUCCCAUCAUGCCCAAGUUUGGUUCUUGCAUUUGUAAAUAUUAGCACUAAAGAUUCAAUCUCUCUAUAUGGGAAAGCAAAGUAAUUGAAGAGAGAGUGUAGAGAAAAAAAACAAAACGGGUUAUAAAGAAAGCAAAAAAGAUUUAUGUAGUGAGGGUUUUGAGGACCACAAGGCUCUUAUGCUUCGAGACUGAUACAGUGUUUAAUGGAUGUUGAGAGAAAGAAAGAGCUGAGAGGGAACAGAGAAACAGUGUUUUGUUGUUAUAGGUGAGAGAGAGAGAGAAGGCAGGAAGGGACCUGUAUAUUGGGAUCUGAGACACAAAACUUUCUGCACCAAUUCUGAUAUGUUGCAGAGAUUUUUACAGACACAAAGAAAGAUAAAUGAAGACUUAAAAGCAUAGAAACAGGUGAUAGAGAAAGAAAGAGAGACUGAAUUUUGGUUUUUUCGAGUCUUUGAGAAAUUGAAAAGAGAGAGGAGCUAUGGAAUCAUUUCUACGAAAGGGAAGGAGUUGGGGGUUGGAUGAGAGAUCAGAUAAAGCUGCUUCCAGUGGCCUGACAUUUUUUAUUACUUUUUGUUUCUUUUUAUUCU